GAUGAACGCUGGCGGCGUGCCUAAUACAUGCAAGUCGAGCGAACAGACGAGGAGCUUGCUCCUCUGACGUUAGCGGCGGACGGGUGAGUAACACGUGGAUAACCUACCUAUAAGACUGGGAUAACUUCGGGAAACCGGAGCUAAUACCGGAUAAUAUAUUGAACCGCAUGGUUCAAUAGUGAAAGUCGGUUUUGCUGUCACUUAUAGAUGGAUCCGCGCCGCAUUAGCUAGUUGGUAAGGUAACGGCUUACCAAGGCAACGAUGCGUAGCCGACCUGAGAGGGUGAUCGGCCACACUGGAACUGAAACACGGUCCAGACUCCUACGGGAGGCAGCAGUAGGGAAUCUUCCGCAAUGGGCGAAAGCUUGACGGAGCAACGCCGCGUGAGUGAUGAAGGUCUUCGGAUCGUAAAACUCUGUUAUUAGGGAAGAACAAAUGUGUAAGUAACUAUGCACGUCUUGACGGUACCUAAUCAGAAAGCCACGGCUAACUACGUG
rnacentral:rRNA from 1 species